AUUGAACGCUGGCGGCAGGCUUAACACAUGCAAGUCGAGCGAGCGGCGGACGGGUGAGUAAUGUAUGGGAAACUGCCUGAUGGAGGGGGAUAACUACUGGAAACGGUAGCUAAUACCGCAUACCAUCAGAUGUGCCAAGAUGGGAUUAGCUAGUUGGUGGGGUAAUGGCUCACCAAGCCGACGAUCCCUAGCUGGUCGGAGAGGAUGACCAGCCACACUGGAACUGAGACACGGUCCAGACUCCUACGGGAGGCAGCAUUGGGGAAUAUUGCACAAUGGGCGCAAGCCUGAUGCAGCCAUGCCGCGUGUAUGAAGAAGGCCUUCGGGUUGUAAAGCACUUUCAGCGAGGAGGCGUUACUCGCAGAAGAAGCACCGGCUAACUCCGUGCCAGCAGCCGCGGUAAUAC
rnacentral:rRNA from 1 species